rnacentral:lncRNA from 1 species
UAACAAUACUUUUUAAAUGAUUACUGUGUCCCAGGCACUGUGUUUCACAUUUAUGGAUUAUAUUAUUUAAGACUUACAAUAACCCUAUGAGGAAAGCAUUAUCAAUAUUACAUUUUUCCUCCAAUGUUUUUAUGUUAGAAAAAACAGUGAAGCAUAGACAGUUUUUGCAAGAGGCCCAAGAUCAUACAUCAAAUAUGUGCACAGCCAGGACCUGAACCAGUUGAUAUCUACAAAUGCCUGGCUUUUGCCACUGGGCUCCUUCAGGAUGGGAGGACAGGCAUGAUGGUGUGUGCCUGUAUUCCCACCAACUCAAAAGGCUGACAUGGGAGGAUCACUAGAGCCCAGGAGUUUGAGGCCCACAUGGGCAACUUAGCAAAAACCUGUCUCUAAAAAUCAAAACAGAGAAACAGGAUGAAGAAUGUUCAUACGGAUUCUGUUAUCUACUAUUUAACCAGGUAAAGAGAAAUGCUCCAAAUAGUUUACGUGUUUACAAUACAUGUUUUUGAAUAAAUGAAUGAAUGGCAAAUGUAUGUUAUAAUAAUUUAUCAAUUGUAUAGAAAUAAUAGAUGAUUAGAA